rnacentral:tRNA from 1 species
GCACCCUUAGCUCAGUUGGUAGAGCAUCUGACUCUUAAUCAGCAGGUCGCGGGUUCGAGUCCCGCAGGGUGCA